AGAGUUUGAUCAUGGCUCAGGAUGAACGCUAGCUACAGGCUUAACACAUGCAAGUCGAGGGGAAACGACAUCGAAAGCUUGCUUUUGAUGGGCGUCGACCGGCGCACGGGUGAGUAACGCGUAUCCAACCUGCCCAUCACUUGGGGAUAACCUUGCGAAAGUAAGACUAAUACCCAAUGACGUCUCUAGAAGACAUCUGAAAGAGAUUAAAGAUUUAUCGGUGAUGGAUGGGGAUGCGUCUGAUUAGCUUGUUGGCGGGGUAACGGCCACAAGGCGACGAUCAGUAGGGUUCUGGGAGAAGGUCCCCCANAUUGGAACUGAGACACGGUCCAAACUCCUGCGGGAGGCA
rnacentral:rRNA from 1 species